rnacentral:rRNA from 1 species
CCUACGGGAUGCAGCAGUGAGGAAUAUUGGUCAAUGGGCGCGAGCCUGAACCAGCGAAGUAGCGUGAAGGAUGACGGCCCUACGGGUUGUAAACUUCUUUUAUAAAGGAAUAAAGUGAGGCACGUGUGCCUUUUUGUAUGUACUUUAUGAAUAAGGAUCGGCUAACUCCGGGCCAGCAGCCGCUGUAAUCCGGAGGCUCCGAGCGUUGUCCGGAAUUAUUGGGUUUAAAGGGAGCGUAGAUGGGUUGUUAAGUCAGUUGUGAAAGUUUGCGGCUCAACCGUAAAAGUGCAAUUGAUACUGGCAGCCUUGAGUACAGUAGGGGUAGGCGGAAUUCGUGGUGUAGCGGUGAAAUGCUUAGAUAUCACGAAGAACUCCGAUUGCGAAGGCAGCUUACUAAACUGCCACUGACAUUGAUGCUCGAAAGUGUGGGUAUCAAACAGGAUUAGAUACCCGAGUAGUC